AAAUUGAAGAGUUUGAUCAUGGCUCAGAUUGAACGCUGGCGGCAGGCCUAACACAUGCAAGUCGAACGGUAACAGGAAGCAGCUUGCUGCUUUGCUGACGAGUGGCGGACGGGUGAGUAAUGUCUGGGAAACUGCCUGAUGGAGGGGGAUAACUACUGGAAACGGUGGCUAAUACCGCAUAACGUCGCAAGACCAAAGAGGGGGACCUUCGGGCCUCUUGCCAUCAGAUGUGCCCAGAUGGGAUUAGCUGGUUGGUGAGGUAACGGCUCACCAAGGCGACGAUCCCUAGCUGGUCUGAGAGGAUGACCAGCCACACUGGAACUGAGACACGGUCCAGACUCCUACGGGAGGCAGCAGUGGGGAAUAUUGCACAAUGGGCGCAAGCCUGAUGCAGCCAUGCCGCGUGUAUGAAGAAGGCCUUCGGGUUGUAAAGUACUUUCAGCGGGGAGGAAGGUGUUGUGGUUAAUAACCGCAGCAAUUGACGUUACCCGCAGAAGAAGCACCGGCUAACUCCGUGCCAGCAGCCGCGGUAAUACGGAGGGUGCAAGCGUUAAUCGGAAUUACUGGGCGUAAAGCGCACGCAGGCGGUCUGUCAAGUCGGAUGUGAAAUCCCCGGGCUCAACCUGGGAACUGCAUUCGAAACUGGCAGGCUUGAGUCUUGUAGAGGGGGGUAGAAUUCCAGGUGUAGCGGUGAAAUGCGUAGAGAUCUGGAGGAAUACCGGUGGCGAAGGCGGCCCCCUGGACAAAGACUGACGCUCAGGUGCGAAAGCGUGGGGAGCAAACAGGAUUAGAUACCCUGGUAGUCCACGCCGUAAACGAUGUCUACUUGGAGGUUGUGCCCUUGAGGCGUGGCUUCCGGAGCUAACGCGUUAAGUAGACCGCCUGGGGAGUACGGCCGCAAGGUUAAAACUCAAAUGAAUUGACGGGGGCCCGCACAAGCGGUGGAGCAUGUGGUUUAAUUCGAUGCAACGCGAAGAACCUUACCUGGUCUUGACAUCCACAGAACUUUCCAGAGAUGGACUUGUGCCUUCGGGAACUGUGAGACAGGUGCUGCAUGGCUGUCGUCAGCUCGUGUUGUGAAAUGUUGGGUUAAGUCCCGCAACGAGCGCAACCCUUAUCCUUUGUUGCCAGCGGUUAGGCCGGGAACUCAAAGGAGACUGCCAGUGAUAAACUGGAGGAAGGUGGGGAUGACGUCAAGUCAUCAUGGCCCUUACGACCAGGGCUACACACGUGCUACAAUGGCGCAUACAAAGAGAAGCGACCUCGCGAGAGCAAGCGGACCUCAUAAAGUGCGUCGUAGUCCGGAUUGGAGUCUGCAACUCGACUCCAUGAAGUCGGAAUCGCUAGUAAUCGUGGAUCAGAAUGCCACGGUGAAUACGUUCCCGGGCCUUGUACACACCGCCCGUCACACCAUGGGAGUGGGUUGCAAAAGAAGUAGGUAGCUUAACCUUCGGGAGGGCGCUUACCACUUUGUGAUUCAUGACUGGGGUGAAGUCGUAACAAGGUAACCGUAGGGGAACCUGCGGUUGGAUCACCUCCUUACCUUAAAGAA
rnacentral:rRNA from 1 species